CAAUGGGGUGCCUGAAAUAUUUAGGGCUGAGAUUAUACCCACAGAACCUGCUCCGGGUAAUGCCGGCGAAGGGAGGGCAAUA
rnacentral:ncRNA from 1 species